rnacentral:rRNA from 1 species
GACGCAGGGGGCUAGCGUUGUUCGGAAUUACUGGGCGUAAAGCGUGCGCAGGCGGUUUCUUACGUCAGAUGUGAAAGCCCCGGGCUUAACCUGGGAACUGCGUUUGAAACUGGGAGACUUGAGUGUGGCAGAGGGGGGUGGAAUUCCACGUGUAGCAGUGAAAUGCGUAGAUAUGUGGAGGAACACCGAUGGCGAAGGCAGCCCCCUGGGUUAACACUGACGCUCAUGCACGAAAGCGUGGGGAGCAAACAGG